rnacentral:lncRNA from 12 species
CCCCUGCACCCCGCACACCACCCUCUCCUGCCCGCCGUGCCAGCACAGAAACCCAGGACCCCCAAGGGAACAGCAAACUGCCUUUUCACAGCUCAACAAAGAUGCUUCAAGAACGUGCCUUAAAACAAAUUCUGUUGGGAGUUGUCAAGGCUUCUGCCUCAAGGGCAAGCCCACUUUGAGGGGAGGUCAAAGGCAUCUGGAGCUUUCCAAACUGCUGUUAAGUCUAACACUCCAAGAGCCAACAGGACAGAUUAAAAUCGGAUUUUGCCUGCAAUACCAUUUGGGAUCGAGCCUGCAUUGCUGAGUGUGUCCUCCAGCCGGGGAGCCUGGUUUGCAGACCCUCCGCCAGCCUCGUGCUCCCAAACACGGCUUCCAAGCAGCGCGACUGCUUUCCGUGGGAGAGGCCUGGCUGCUGGGAUGGGGAUGGGGUUGGGAUGGGACUGUCCGAGGGCGUCGGGCCAUGCCUGCCCAUCUCUGAGCAGCGCUCUCCUCCCUAUGACAACAGGUGUGCCGCGCUACAAACAGUCAGCUUCGGGAAAAGAAUUCGCAAACAAGUAUAACAGGAUAUUCAGAAAACUGGUGCAGGGUGACUCAUCUCAUCGAACGCAAACUAUCUGGGAUGUGACGUUCUGCUGUUGCAUUGGCAGCUCGGUCCGGCGAGCUUUCCGGAGCUCUGACUACCCCCCUCCCGACUGCACAGAGGAAACUUUGAAAUGCUGCACAUUGAAAAGAGAAGCAAAAGGUAAAUGCUGAAUAAAUGCAAGUGUUUCUCCUCCCUUAUGCCCUGUGCAGGAGGGCAGGAAGCUUCUCGGGCAGAGUGUGGGUGGGGGGCGCGGGGGACUGCGGCCCUGGGAAAAGCUGCAUCGGGCCGGAUGUCUGCGGACAUGGUUUCAGAAUAUUCUUAGAACCGAGCUAUUCAUAUCUGUAGACUCUUUUCUUUUUAAUUUAAAGAAAAAUGGAUUUAAGGAAACCAAAUGAACUAGGUCAACGAAGAUGCUAUUUCCUGGCAGCUCUGGACCCGCUAAACUCUCCUCAUGGUUAGGAAAGAGUCUCCCACAGUGGGCAUCGCUUCUGUCCCCCACGGGCCUCAGGGGUUGGGGGGAGGAGCCGGCAGCUCUGGGAGGCUUACUGGGUAGGAUCUGUGACUGACAGGACACCACCCCGAAUCCCCCGAAUCACGGCCGGUUCUGAGAUUUGAAAGCCCUAAGUGGGGACCAGUCCCAGCCCCUUUUGCCUUGUCCGGCUGCCUGACAUACAUACGUGUUUAUGUCUCUGGUGACUCAGGCUCACACCCCAGGCUCUUUCUAGACAGGACGCAAGUGCCGGCCGUGGGCAAAUUCCCUCACCCAACACCAGGGAUUUCCCUCGCCUGACUGUAACCGAGCUAUUAGGGUUAUUUGUUCUAUACUUUCAACCUGUAACCUCCCUGCAUCGUAGGGCACCUUCAAAGGAUGUGACACAAUUUGACCGAAUCCAGGCUGCUGUGUUGUGUUUUCCGAACGUGAAUCCACCUGCUUGAUGUCCAUCUUCUUUACUCCUGAAGUGCAUUCACACAUCGGGCCGUUCAAAAGCUCUCCUGGCUAAAAGCCCCCCUGAGUUUCUCUGAUCCGGCCUUGGAAGGUGCCCCGAAGAGGCCCUGGGAUGCAGCUCACUGGUGGCUGAGGACACAUAUUCUUUCUUAACUUGAUUGUCUUCAUCCUCUCAAUCAGAUGUAUGUCCAGACUGCACUUGUCCACGGUUCAUUAACUCCUAAAGAAUUUGACCUGGUCCACGUCGCUUUGUCCUCCGAAGAAAUGCCUAGGGAAUUCCCCGAGUGAGGCUCACAGACAAGGACCCUGCCCAAAGAGAGUGUUCUUGGUUUUUGGUGACUCAGGGCCUUCUCUUUACACAGAGUGAUCUUCAAAGGGCAGGUUGGAGAUGUGUCAGCUCCAGACACAGCAAAUGACUAUGAGUUCAGAUUCCCAAACUUUCCAUUUUCCUGUUAUUUCCCUGCCAUCUCGUUGGACCACAUUCCUGUGUCUGCUCUUCCCAUCCAGAACGUGUGGGUGCUAAUCUUUGCCUCUGACACCUGUUAGUCAUUCUGUGUCUCAGGUCCCAUUGGUGAUAUGGGGUAAUCACCGUGUUUACCACACAGGCUUGUUGAGAAACCUCCACUUCAUGGUGAUAGGUGAUCUGAUCAAGUGGAGGUAUUGCAUUAAGCUCAACAAAGAUUAGACAGCAGACUUGGGAAAACCAUAGCAUCUUCUUUCCAGUUCUCAUUUCCCAUAGAAGGUAACACUGAUAGGAAUCUGUUGUGGUGAAUGUUCAUCAUUUCUGGAAACACAGGAGCAUUCAUGGAAAGACACCUGUAGGCUGAGGUCUUAGCUCCUAUUAAGACCUGAGUAAUAGCCUCAGAUUUGCAAACACACAGGCUCUGGUUCUGCUUUCUUAGCUGGGCAUGUGUUCACAGGUGUCUUAUCUAGUGCUUAUAGGCCAGAAAGGGCCACAUUCUAGGCAAAUAUCAAGAGAUAUGAGCUGAAUGUGGUUUUAAUAUGCUGGCAUCAUGUGAUAUCACUGACUUUGAGAAGUACCCUGCAUGAUCCAACUUACUGAAGAAGGAAGGGAUCAUUUGCUCCAGAGAAAAGUCAAAACAGUAAAACUGCUUGAGGAGAAAAUGACCUUUCUUGUCCUUACACGUAUCAAGUGGAUUCUUAGGAAAGUAAGCCCAGCAAGGAUUCCCUGUAACUAACGGCUGACUCCGCUAGACUCCAAGAAGCCAUUACUUACUUUUAUUACUCUAAACUGACCAAUUCCAUCACGAGACACCCUUGGGUUUCCACGGGGUCACCUUGGUGAGGUAACGUGUUGUACCCAGGCUGGGGACAUCAGCUUUUUGAUUUUUUGUCUUAAUUCCAAGCUUAUAUUUCCACUCUUACUAUUUAGCAAGAUCCUUGUUUUUUUUUUGUUGUUGUUUGUUUGUUUGUUUGUUUUAAGAUCCUUGUUUUGAUGUGCUAUCAUCAACACCUGAUAUAAUCAGGAUUGAAAACACAGUUUAAAAUCUUGCCCCCACACCUCAGAUAAAGCUGAACAUCCACGGUGUUUGAUGAUACACCAUGGUCCGCUGCAGGAGAGGUAGUUCUGCAGCCAGCCAGUCCAGGCUUUUCGUAUUUCUGUGUAUUUGUGUAUAUUCUUAGGCAGGUCCAUGCUUGAGUUGCUUCAUGGUUAGGAGACAGUCAUUAGCUUCUAAAGAAUCAUCUGGAAUACUCUAGCAGCUGAUACACAUAAAAGUAUAAAAAAGAAAUAUAAAGAAGGAAGUAAUAGACUUAGUGUGAUAAGUAAUUUGUAUAAUUGGCUGCCUCUAAAACAAGCAUACGUAACAAGUAAUACAUCUGCAACAUCCUUUGCUUCUUUACCUUUACACAAAGGAGAUGGAUCUAGGUCUACACAAGGAUGUACAUUAAAUAUUCAUUGGUGGAUUUAUUCUAAAAUUUGUGAGUGUCCAGUCUGGCUCUAGAUAACAAUAAUAAAAAAAAAAAAACCUUCCU